CCUACGGGAGGCAGCAGUGAGGAAUAUUGGUCAAUGGACGAGAGUCUGAAGCAGCCAAGUAGCGUGGAGGAUGAAUGUCUUAUGGUUUGUACAUUUUUUUUAUAAAGGAAUUAAUCGCGGUAUGUGUGCAUUUUUGCAUGUACUUUUUGAUUCAGGAUCGGCUAACUCCGUGGCAGCUGCAGGGGUAAUACGGAGUGACUGAGCGUUACACGGAGUUAUUGGGCGUAAAGGGAGAGUAGGUGGGUUGGUAAGUCAGAUGUGAAAUCUUACGGCUUAACCGUAGAACUGCAUUUGAAACUGGCAGUCUAGAGUAUGGGAGAGGUAGGUGGAAUUCUUGGUGUAGGGGUAAAAUCCUUAGAUAUCAAGAAGAAUACUCAUUGCGAAGGCGACUUGCUAGAACAUAACUGACGCUGAUGCGCGAAAGUGUGGCUAGCAAACAGGAUUAGAUACCCCAGUAGUC
rnacentral:rRNA from 1 species